rnacentral:rRNA from 1 species
CCUACGGGGGGCAGCAGUGAGGAAUAUUGGUCAAUGGCCGGAAGGCUGAACCAGCCAUGCCGCGUGAAGGUCAGUGCCCUAUCGGCGUUAAACUUCUUUUGUGCGGGAGCAAUAAUGGUCACGUGUGGCCCGACUAGAGUACCGUACGAAUAAGCAUCGGCUUACUCCGUUCCAGCAACCGCGGUAAUACGGGGGAUGCAAGCGUUGUCCGGAUUUACUGGGGGUAAAGGGCGUGUAGCCGGGAAGGCAAGUCAGAUGUGAAAUCUGGAGGCUCAACCUCCAAAUUGCAUUUGAAACUGUUGGUCUGGAGUACGGGAGAGGCAGACGGAAUUCCUGGUGUAGCGGUGAAAUGCGUAGAUAUAAGGAGGAACACCAGUGGCGAAGGCGGUCUGCUGGACAGCAACUGACGGUGAGGCGCGAAAGCGUGGGGAGCAAACAGGAUUAGAUACCCGUGUAGUC